UGAAUACGAGAUGCUACGGCGUCGAAGCAGUGUAUGUCAGACUUCCAAGAAAAGCUCGCAAUGUCAUAAAUAAAGAAUGCCUGUACCAUAACCGACACAGGUGGGUAGGUAGAGUAUACUAAGGGGCGCGAGAUAACUCUCUCUAAGGAACUCGGCAAAAUAACUCCGUAACUUCGGGAGAAGGAGUGCCUUCUAUUAGAAGGUUGCAAUAACAAGAUCCAAGCAACUGUUUAUCAAAAACACAGGUCUCCGCUAAGUCGUAAGACGAUGUAUGGGGGCUGACGCCUGCCCAGUGCCAGAAGGUUAAAGAAGUUGGUUAGCUUUGGCGAAGCUGAUGACUGAAGCCCUGGUGAACGGCGGCCGUAACUAUAACGGUCCUAAGGUAGCGAAAUUCCUUGUCGGGUAAGUUCCGACCCGCACGAAAGGCGUAAUGAUUUGGAUACUGUCUCGGAGAGGGACUCGGUGAAAUAGACUUGUCUGUGAAGAUGCGGACUACCUGCACCAGGACAGAAAGACCCUAUGAAGCUUUACUGUAACUUGAAAUUGAAAUUGGACUUUAUUUGCGCAGCAUAGGUGGAAGGCGUUGAGAUUACUCUUGCGGGAGUACUGGAGCCAUCAGUGAGAUACCACUCCUAUAAUGUUAGAUUUCUAACUUUGGAUCAUGAUCUGGUCAAAGAACAGUUUCAGGCGGGCAGUUUGACUGGGGCGGUCGCCUCCCAAAUGGUAACGGAGGCGUACAAAGGUUUCCUCUGAACGGGUAGAAAUCGUAUCUAGAGUGUAAAGGCAUAAGGAAGCUUGACUGUGAGACCUACAGGUCGAGCAGGGACGAAAGUCGGUCUUAGUGAUCUGACGGUGCUGAGUGGAAAGGCCGUCACUCAACGGAUAAAGUUACUCUAGGAUAACAGGCUGAUCUCCCCCAAGAGUUCACAUCGACGGGGAGGUUUGGCACCUCGAUGUCGGCUCAUCGCAUCCUGGGGCGGUAGUACGUCCCAAGGGUUGGGCUGUUCGCCCAUGAAAGCGGUACGCGAGCUGGGUUCAGAACGUCGUGAGACAGUUCGGUCCAUAUCCGGUGUAGGCGUUAGAAUAUUGAGAGGAGCCUUCUUUAGUACGAGAGGACCGAGAAGGACAUACCUCUGGUGUACCAGUUAUCGUGCCAACGGUAAACGCUGGGUAGCUAUGUAUGGAGAGGAUAACCGCUGAAAGCAUCUAAGUGGGAAGCCCACCUCAAGAUGAGUAUUCUCAUC
rnacentral:rRNA from 1 species